AAACACACACUCUGCAUUAUAUACACACUCUGCAUUAUAUACACAAAGUGUGUGUAUAUAAUGCAGAGUGUGUGUUU